GAUGAACGCUGGCGGCGUGCCUAAUACAUGCAAGUCGAGCGAACAGACGAGUAGCUUGCUCCUCUGACGUUAGCGGCGUACGGGUGAGUAACACGUGGAUAACCUACCUAUAAGACUGGGAUAACUUCGGGAAACCGGAGCUAAUACCGGAUAAUAUCUUGAACCGCAUGGUUCAAUAGUUAAAGACGGUUUUGCUGUCACUUAUAGAUGUAUCCGCGCCGCAUUAGCUAGUUGGUAAGGUAACGGCUUACCAAGGCGACGAUGCGUAGCCGACCUGAGAGGGUGAUCGGCCACACUGGAACUGAGACACGGUACAGACUCCUACGGGAGGCAGCAGUAGGGAAUCUUCCGCAAUGGGCGAAAGCCUGAAGGAGCAACGCCGCGUGAGUGAUGAAGGUCUUCGGAUCGUAAAACUCUGUUAUUAGGGAAGAACAAAUGUGUAAGUAACUAUGCACGUCUUGAUGGUACCUAAUCAGAAAGCCACGGCUAACUACGUG
rnacentral:rRNA from 1 species